AUGACAAAUGGCUUUACCACGGGACAUAUACAUGACUUUGUCACCCUUUGGGAUAAGUUGGAUGAUAUAAUCCAGGAUCAUGACACGCAAGAUACGAUCAUAUGGAAGCUUACGGAGAGCGGUACUUACUCCACUUUUUCAACCUAUUCGCUACGGUUCGAGGGACGCACCUCAACACCACUCCUAAAGACUGUUUGGAAAGUCUGGGCAACUCCGAAAUGCAAGUUCUUAGCUUGGUUAAUCAUUCACAACAGAGUAUGGACGACGGAUAGGCUACAACGAAGGGGGUGUCCGAAUUGCGGUUUGUGUUCUCUUUGCAGCCAAGUUCAGGAGUCUGCGGCGCACCUCCUAUUCCAAUGCCGUUUUUCGCUUGCGGUUUGGAAUGCGGUAAUGGCGAAGAUCAGGCUGAGCAAUAUUGUCACCGCGGACUAG
rnacentral:rRNA from 1 species